UGGAACAGGACCUUGUAAUGCUGUAUAUAC
rnacentral:piRNA from 2 species